GAGUUUGAUCGUGGCUCAGAUUGAACGCUGGCGGCAUGCCUUACACAUGCAAGUCGAACGGCAGCACGGGAGCUUGCUCCUGGUGGCGAGUGGCGAACGGGUGAGUAAUGCAUCGGAACGUACCCUGGAGUGGGGGAUAACGUAGCGAAAGUUACGCUAAUACCGCAUAUUCUGUGAGCAGGAAAGCGGGGGACCGUUCGGGCCUCGCGCUCUUGGAGCGGCCGAUGUCGGAUUAGCUAGUUGGUGAGGUAAAGGCUCACCAAGGCGACGAUCCGUAGCAGGUCUGAGAGGAUGAUCUGCCACACUGGAACUGAGACACGGUCCAGACUCCUACGGGAGGCAGCAGUGGGGAAUUUUGGACAAUGGGGGCAACCCUGAUCCAGCCAUGCCGCGUGAGUGAAGAAGGCCUCGGUUGUAAG
rnacentral:rRNA from 1 species